AAUCACUUUGCUGUACAGAAGAAAUUAACACAACAUUGUCGAGCAACUAUGAUUCAAUUGAAAAAAAGAGUAGGUGCUCAGGGUUUGUCUAAUCAGUGAAUUGAUUUCCACUACGUCCAUGCUUUCCCCAGAAAGAUCCUUGUGAUCAAGGCACCUCUUCUGGAAGGAGUUUCGCCAGAAAGUCAAGGAAAUGGGAAAAUGUUCCUGAGUUCAGAAUGGCUCUUCUCUGAGCUGGGCCAUGUAAGGGAAGGCUGUCCUCUUUCAGAUGGGGAGCUGAAAGAAAAAUACCACGUAGAUCUCCUGGGAUCCAGCAAGCCAGAUUACAAGGCAUGGAGGCCCUUCUUGUCUCCUGUUUCUUGUAGGCGAGACUCCAGCUUCCACAACCCACCCUGAGUUCCACUUCCAACAGCUGCUCAUCACGGGAAGGGCAGCCAAGAAACCACCCGAGGCAAGAUUAAAGGGACCUGAGGAGGUUAGGUCCUUAUGAUUAUCCAGUGGAAGUGAGAAAUAGAUUUAAGGGCCUAGAUCUGCUAGACAGAGUGCC
ensembl:lncRNA